GGGGGUGGAUGCGUCCCGGUGGGCGUUCCGAUCUUCAAAAUCGGUGGCUGGCUGCACGACAGGCGGCGGUGGGUUCGACUCCCAUUCACUCCCG
rnacentral:tRNA from 1 species